GAUGAACGCUGGCGGCGUGCCUAAUACAUGCAAGUCGAGCGAACGGACGAGAAGCUUGCUUCUCUGAUGUUAGCGGCGGACGGGUGAGUAACACGUGGAUAACCUACCUAUAAGACUGGGAUAACUUCGGGAAACCGGAGCUAAUACCGGAUGAUAUUUUGAACCGCAUGGUUCAAAAUUGAAAGACGGUCUUGCUGUCACUUAUAGAUGGAUCCGCGCUGCAUUAGCUAGUUGGUAAGGUAACGGCUUACCAAGGCAACGAUGCAUAGCCGACCUGAGAGGGUGAUCGGCCACACUGGAACUGAGACACGGUCCAGACUCCUACGGGAGGCAGCAGUAGGGAAUCUUCCGCAAUGGGCGAAAGCCUGACGGAGCAACGCCGCGUGAGUGAUGAAGGUCUUCGGAUCGUAAAACUCUGUUAUUAGGGAAGAACAUAUGUGUAAGUAACUGUGCACAUCUUGACGGUACCUAAUCAGAAAGCCACGGCUAACUACGUG
rnacentral:rRNA from 1 species